rnacentral:rRNA from 1 species
GAUGAACGCUAGCGAUAGGCUUAACACAUGCAAGUCGAGGGGCAGCAUGAUCUUAGCUUGCUAAGGUUGAUGGCGACCGGCGCACGGGUGCGUAACGCGUAUGCAACUUGCCUUACAGAGGGGGAUAACCCGUUGAAAGACGGACUAAAACCGCAUACACUUGUAUUAUUGCAUGAUAUUACAAGGAAAUAUUUAUAGCUGUAAGAUAGGCAUGCGUCCCAUUAGCUGGUUGGUGAGGUAACGGCUCACCAAGGCGACGAUGGGUAGGGGAACUGAGAGGUUUAUCCCCCACACUGGUACUGAGACACGGACCAGACUCCUACGGGAGGCAGCAGUGAGGAAUAUUGGUCAAUGGGCGAGAGCCUGAACCAGCCAAGUCGCGUGAAGGAAGACAGUCCUAAGGAUUGUAAACUUCUUUUAUACGGGAAUAACGGGCGAUACGAGUAUUGCAUUGAAUGUACCGUAAGAAUAAGCAUCGGCUAACUCCGUGCCAGCAGCCGCGGUAAUACGGAGGAUGCGAGCGUUACCCGGAUUUAUUGGGUUUAAAGGGUGCGUAGGUUGUUCGGUAAGUCAGCGGUGAAACCUGAACGCUCAACGUUCAGCCUGCCGUUGAAACUGCCGGGCUUGAGUUCAGUGGCGGCAGGCGGAAUUCGUGGUGUAGCGGUGAAAUGCAUAGAUAUCACGAGGAACUCCGAUUGCGAAGGCAGCUUGCCAUACUGCGACUGACACUGAAGCACGAAGGCGUGGGUAUCAAACAGGAUUAGAUACCCUGGUGGUCCACGCAGUAAACGAUGAUUACUAGGAGUUUGCGAUAUACCGUCAAGCUUCCACAGCGAAAGCGUUAAGUAAUCCACCUGGGGAGUACGCCGGCAACGGUGAAACUCAAAGGAAUUGACGGGGGCCCGCACAAGCGGAGGAACAUGUGGUUUAAUUCGAUGAUACGCGAGGAACCUUACCCGGGAUUGAAAUGUAGAUGACGGAUGGUGAAAACCGUCUUCCCUUCGGGGCUUCUAUGUAGGUGCUGCAUGGUUGUCGUCAGCUCGUGCCGUGAGGUGUCGGCUUAAGUGCCAUAACGAGCGCAACCCACAUCGGUAGUUGCUAACAGUUUUCGCUGAGGACUCUACCGAGACUGCCGUCGUAAGGCGUGAGGAAGGUGUGGAUGACGUCAAAUCAGCACGGCCCUUACAUCCGGGGCGACACACGUGUUACAAUGGGAGGGACAAAGGGCAGCUACCGGGCGACCGGAUGCGAAUCUCUAAACCCUUCCCCAGUUCGGAUCGGAGUCUGCAACUCGACUCCGUGAAGCUGGAUUCGCUAGUAAUCGCGCAUCGGCCAUGGCGCGGUGAAUACGUUCCCGGGCCU